GGAGUCGGCAGUCUGCAGCCCGGAAGAGGGUUCUCCCAGGAACCACACCAUGCCAGCACCCCGAUCUUGGACUUGAAGCCUCCAGAACCACAAGAAGCUGUCUUCCCUGCCUUGGCAAUCAUGGAAAUGUGCGUGUGAUGGAAAUGCUAUAGGACGGAAGCAAUCUAGAGCUCCAGAUCACUUCGUGAAGACUGAGAAGACCAUGUCCAAGAGCAUGUCCAUGAGUGUGGUUUCCAUCCGCAGCCAGGAGAAGGCUCCUGUCGUGCGGGGUUGCUGUUGUUAGCCACCCAUCAUUUCAGGCUUCCGUGUUCCUUGAUUCCUGACUCUCUUCCUUCAUCUUCAACAUCAGCAAUGGCAGCACUCAGAGGAGCAGAAGGAAGACUGAGUCAGUCCCAUGGAGGUCGAGGGAGGAGAGCAGGUGAGUCCGGAGAUGUGGGCCACGCCGCUGGCUGUCGCAAC